UAGACUCGUGAUUUAAGCCCUCCUGGUUUGUAAGAUAUGGCAUUUUUAGUGCACAUAUAUCCUGGUUGGCGCCUUGGCUGGUUGAGUAGGGCUUUGGGUUGACCUCUGGUUCAGUUGCUGAUCUGAUGACCGCAUCAGAUCCUUAUGAUGAUAUAUCUUUCUCAAGAUUGGCAAUGCCGAACAACCUGAUUUACUUUCAAGAUUCAUGGCAUCAAGAUACCUCUCCAUGGAACAACACCAUAACCACCAAUCCUCGUGGACUCAUAUUCAAUACUCAUGGAUAUGACAUCCAAGAUCAAACUGUCACCAAGGGAGUCAAUCAAGAUUCAUAUUAUCAGCCGGCAUGUUCUUCUGAUGCAACACAAGAGCAAAUAAAGUAGUCAAACAUAGGAAACAUGUAUAGUUCGUUGGAUUUUUAAAAUUUUGUAAAUGAUCUUUGUGUUUGAUUAAACCGAUCCAAACACCCUUUUAUUGAAAUCAAAAUUUUCUGGCGCACUCACCUGCUAAUGUGAUACCACCGAUAACGCCUAAAGAAACUCCACGCAUGAGUUAAACAUUGGAAAAAGUACAGUUCGUUUGGUUUAAUUACGCUUAAGUCACUGCAUAGUUCGGUUGCCAAAUUUGGAUUUUAAGUGAGACUUUAUCUUUAUGUGCUUGAUUCUAAAGAAAGCAAGGCCUAAAGAGCUGAAAGAUACAGCUACGAGGCUGAUUUAUUUUUUUAUUUUUUUUGUCAGCAAUUUACUCGUAUAGACUCUGUAAACAAAAUGGCAGUUCCGCAUCCAUAUGGACAACCAACUAAGGUUGCUUUCUUGCAUUGUGUACUAGACUGUCCGCCCUUGAAUUUUGCGUCCGUGGUAUAUGAAUGAGCUCUAAACUGUUGAAACUUCUCUUCAAGAUCUUUAUGUCUUUCAAAUAACUUGCAAAGGCUGGGUAUUCUUUCUGGUUCCGAAACCAUCUUCACCAACUAAGAGCAAUAUGUUGCAAAUGUAAUUGUAAACUGUCUUAGAUUCCACUUGCAUUCCAUUGCCCAAAUGAGAGUCUCUAUCUCCGAGUGAAGUGGCGACUGACUCGGUCUUGUAUUCCUUGCUCCGAUUAAACCUUCAAAACCUUCCAGUGUGCUAUAUCACCCUUGUCCCGAAAUGAUUUCCUGAUUUUUCCAUGAUCCAGCUGUAAACACCAUCUACCUAAGAUAGACGAUGAUAUUGCUUCUACGGGUACUCGAGUUUGAUCGAAUCCUUUUGUUAGUGAAAUCUGCGCCUCAGCCCAAAGUAAUGUCUCUGUUUCUGCCAAUCUGAGAGUAUCUCUAGGAUCAAUAUCCAAAUUGCUAAAUACCUUGUUGUUUCUUCCUUUCCACAUGUACCAUAGUAUCAAUGCAAAUUGAUGAUCUUCCAAUUCCAGAGAGACCCUCCAAAAUAAAUGAUCCAUGUGUUGCAAAGAGUGACUGAGUGGAAAAGUUAAAUGGAUUCGAUGGAAUUUGUAAGAGUGCCCAAACCUGAACCGCAUUCAAAAAAUCUGAACGAGGGUGAUUAAUUUAUUUGGUUAAAUGUUGAGUUUGAUUUUUGAUUAAAUUUUAAGAAAACUGUUUCUGAGAAAAAGAAAAGAAAAGGAUAUUAUUUAUCUUUUCAUAAUUUCAUUGUUAUUGGAAAAUAAGUUGGAUGAUAUGAAAUUUAAAAAAUGUGUUCAAAACUGUUUAUUCAUGCAUUGUUAUGGCAUAUUCAUUGUCUUUUCGAUAGUUUUUAUUUUUAUUUUUAAAAAUCUGACAUUUAGUUGAUAAUCAUAAUUUAUUUCAUAUUUUUUUUAAAUUACUAGAUUUAUAAUUGACUGUACUUCUAAAUUCUGCAUUAAUGUACUAAUUUUAUUUUUCGUUCUUUUGAAAACAUAAUUGGAAGUAUGGCUAUCAUUGAAAUCAGACAUGUAUCUAUUUAUUAUUUCGUUUAUCUGCCCUCUUAAGCGUCCAUGUCAUCAAUACGGGGGGUUUUAUGCCACUUGGCAACUCAAUUACUUCAGCUUCCUCGAACUUCAGCCGUACCUUUUCCUCUUCGCCUCGGUUCUCCUCUUCGCCUCGGUUCUACGAGGUAACGUCGAGUUGAAUCAAUGAAACCCAUUACCUCUUCUUAAAUGACUCUUUCCUCCGAUCAAUUUCACCAGUGAGUUUCAUAGUUCGUCUGUCUGCUAACGUUUUUUCAAGAGUUCUCCAGAAAAGAUCCAAAAAUGAAUGGUUAAUUUCCAGAUUCUAUUUUCAGAAUUGAAGGAAGGUCAUUGCAGAGAAAAGGGGAGCAUCCAAAACUUCAGAUUCGCUGAUGCCCCUGUUUCAAUCAGAUUCAUAGAGCAAACAGGUUUCAUAAUUUCGACCAGCUAUUGUCACUGGCUAACACAAACACUGAAUUUCCAAUAUCAUUGGGGGAGGUGCGGGGCAUAAGGACCACUUAGACCGAGAAACCCAAUCCACUCGACGCCUCAUGGCUGAAGCCUAAACUCAUUACUUGCUUCACAUAGAUCCCCUUAGCGGUUUGGUUGUUGUCGUCUGACCUUACGUCGUUUACAUGACAUCUAGCUUACAUCUUCAGGGACGGACCAGCAUGCAUAAGUGUAUCCGGCAACCUUGCGGAGCUCCUCGAUGAGGAAUUAGUAAUGUCAAGUGUGGAACCAAAGGUUGCUGUGGCCACCAAUAUCAACCCUAAAUUAGUUGGAGGUAACCAUUUCUAAUACUCAUCUGUUAUUUUAGGCCAACUUUUUUUCUAAAUGCUACUCCAGAAACACAUUUCUUUUUCGGCCAUGAGAGUGUUGCCAGCCAAAGAUAUCUCACAAAGUAAGGAGUUAUAACCUUUGUUACUCUGAAAAAUAACUUACAUUUCUUCAUGUUAUAAAUCAUAUACCGAGUUGGUCACCGCAAGGUUGGUCUCAGUAGGAAGGUUCAUCCUCAACGUGUACAAAAUAUGGUGGUGUUAAGAAGAUCGAAACGUUAACACUGCAGUCUGAGCUAAAUGCUUAUAUCACAUCUCCCCACAGGUGACCACUUUCACGUAACCCAUCUGUUAGUGCGUUUCUUGACCGACAAUUACUUUCACUUUCGUUGGUGCCUUAUCCAAAGUGUCCCUGAGAUAAAGAGCAAACGAGGAAAGAAAGCUUUCUAUUACAUGGUAUCUCACCAGAAUCAACCUUGUUUGGACCGUGUGUAUCUCCAAACACAGAAUGUAUUGCAAUGAGGAAAGAAAGAUGAUCGUUGUGUAUGAGUAUAUGAAAAAGGGAACGCUUAAAGACCAUCUGUAUGACUCGGAUAAUCCUAGGUUGAGCUGGAGACAAAAGCUUUAGAUAUGCGCUAAAGGGCUUCACUAUCUCCAUACAGGUUCCGCAAGAGCCAUUAUACACUGCGUGUGAAGUCUGCUUCAGGCCAUUGAAGCUCUCGAACCGAACCACAAACUGGUAGUUUACUAGAAUCACAAGAAGCAAACUCAAUCUGAAUAGAAAGACAACUUCAUAUCAUCAAACUGAUCCGUGGUUUGAGCAAAUUUGAUGUAACAAAAGCUCCAAGAGCAACUCCGAGACAACAAGAGUGCCUACCUUUUGGAUAGAUAGAGAACAUUUCUUACUUUCAUUUCUUUUUUUUUGCAUUCAUCCAGAGGCUUUUGUUCUUUUUUUAGGAUUUUCGCUGACAGCUCUUGCGGCCAAGGCUUUUAAAAUCUUUUGUAAUGAUCACAACGUUCUUACGCAGAUUCUAAAUAAAGAUCUACUCUUUCUAGUUUC